UACGUAGGGGGCGAGCGUUGUCCGGAUUUAUUGGGCGUAAAGAGCUCGUAGGCGGCUUGGCAAGUCGGGUGUGAAACCUCCAGGCUCAACCUGGAGACGCCACUCGAUACUGCUAUGGCUAGAGUCCGGUAGGGGACCACGGAACUCCUGGUGUAGCGGUGAAAUGCGCAGAUAUCAGGAGGAACACCGGUGGCGAAGGCGGUGGUCUGGGCCGGCACUGACGCUGAGGAGCGAAAGCGUGGGUAGCAAACAGG
rnacentral:rRNA from 1 species